GAACUGUGUUUGUGUCGAAUGCUUUCCUGUGUGUAUGUGCGUGGGCCUACGCUUGCAGCUGCUGUUCCCUCCCUAUAGGCCUUGUAAGUAGAAGACCAGGGAGAGUUUCCUGAAAGGUGCUGGGGCAGAGAUCUGGGAGAAGGAAGGGGUGAUUGGCAAUCCAUGACUUGUGUUAAAGCAUAGAUGGAAGUCCUCUGAGCUGAGCAUCUACAAAGCUUACUUCUUUACAACCUGGGGGCUAAGGGGGAAGGCUAUUAUCCUCAUUUGACAGGGAAGUGCAGAUGUCCAGAUAUAAAACGCUUGUGGGUCUGAUCUAUUAGGGCUCCUGCACUUAGAGCUUUGCCUGCCCACACCCGACUGGGUGGAGCGCCGGUUCCUGUGGGACUCCUGGCAAGAUGUCAUUGCCAGUGACUUCUGGGGUGACUCCUUUUGGAAGCCUCUUCCAGGCGGGGAAACCGAGGCCAGGUGGGGGCGGGGCCAUGCUUGGGCCAAUGGGCGCGCGCCCCGCCCCCAGCCAGCCUGGGCGGCCUGGUAACCGCAACCCGCAGCCUUGCAAGCCUCCGAGCCAUGGCGUGCGCCGGGCUGCUUACUGUGUGCCUGCUCGGGCCACCUGCGCCCCAGCAGCCGCGACACUCUGCGCCUGCCGCGGGACACGCGCUUUUCCAGGACGUUUUCCGAAGAGCAGACAAAAAUGCAAUUUAGAGACAGAGAAACUGUGUGACUACUUCUCCACACACCUGGGUGUCUACCGGCCCGUGCUGGCUGCGCUGGAGUCUCUGAACCGUGCGGUGCUCACUGCCAUGGACACUACAAAGCUGGAGUAUGAACAGGCCUCCAAGGUGGACCAGUUUGUCACACGAUUUCUGCUGCGGGAGACUGUCAAUCAGCUACAAGCCCUGCAGACCUCCCUGGAGGGAGCAUCAGACACCCUGGAGGCGCAGGCCCAUGGCCAGCGGUUGGAUGAAGAAACUAUCAAAGCGCAGAGUAGGCCCUGUGGCAGCCGGAGGGCAGGACGCAGAGCCCUAAGGAGCAUCAGUUGGUCACCAUCCUGGUCUCCUGGAUCCUCUGAUACAGGGGUCCUGGCUGAUGUCCUCCUGGUCCCUCUGCCAGGGCGGAGUUCAGAGGCUGAGCAGCAGUGGCGGCUACAGGUCAACCGCCUCCAGGAGCUCAUAGACCAGCUUGAGUGCAAGGUGAGAGGCUGGGUGGCCAGUGCAUGUUCACGCCCAUGCAUACUAGAGGCUCGGUCUGUGUUCUGUGUCUCUUGCAGGCACCCCGGCUGGAACCCACACAUGAGGAGGACCUCACCAAGGGGUUUGACUCGCACAUCCUUGUGGCGCAGAGGCAAGUGCAGGUGGCAGAGGAUGCCCUGCAGGAUUUUCAUCGUGCUUUGUGCUGCUACAUGAACUUCACAGGGGCCCAAAGCCAUUGUCUGCAGUGAGUCUCUGGAGAGCCAGUGGGAUGGCCUGGCUACCUCUUUGGUUCUGCAGUGUGUCUGCCCAGAAGAUGCUAGACAAUGCUGCUUUCACCCUGUAUGAGUUCUGGCAGGAUGAAGCCUCCUGGAGAAGGCACCAGCAGUCACCCUGCAGCAAGGCCUUCCAGCGCACCCUCAUCGAUCACCUGCAGGCCCCGGACACUCUCACCACUGUGUUCUUCCCAGCCUCCUGGUGGAUUAUGAAUAAUAACUGAGUCAGUUCUGCUUAAACUGGAGACUGCAGCCCUGCCUAUCAUUCUGGAGCCCUCUGCACUGGUUGACUCUACACUAAAAUCAUGGAACCUGCCUGUUACCAGGCUAAAGGCCUGGUCAUCUGGUAGAGGGUCUCUCAGCCCAGGGAUCAGGAGCUAGGCCGUUUGCUUGCUUUAUUUAUUUUACUGUUUGUAGCUUCCAAGCACCUGGGCUUCUGCCUGAUUCAGGAAACCCGGAUUCUGGUCCCCCUUCCCUCUCUACCUUGCUGUGUGACCCAGGCAGAUCCCUCACCUCUCUGGCUGCCUAGGAGAGUCCUGCUUUCUGCUUGCUGCUUUGGGGUUAAGUUUCUGUUCUUCCUCAACCAGUGGCAGAACCAGGACUGAUGCUCAGGGACUCCCCUCUCCCCCCUCAAACCCUGGAACCUUGACCCUUGAGGCUAGGCCAACUCAGUCUAUAGUGUAGAGACCCAUGGGGUCAGCCCUAAAAUUUCUACCAUCAGUGGUUGUACCAGAGACCUCUGGAAGAUCCUGGGUCGGUUUGCAUGUCAUUUGCCUAUCAUUUGCAUGUCUUAUCCCACCCAUUCUCAGGGUACUAAGGGAAGCCCCAAGAAGACCUUGCAGAGUAGCAAUAAUUUGGGCCUAGAGUUGCCUGCUGCCCCCACCCCCUCCAUCAAGAGAUCUCUGAACCCCAGCCUGGGCCUUGAGCACAGAGGCAAUAAAGCUGGUAGUCACCUGUGGUGGUC